CACGUAGGCGGCCCGUCAAGCGUCUUGUGAAAUCCCUCGGCUCAACCGAGGAAUUGCUGGGCGAACUGGCAGGCUUGAGACAGGCAUGGGUGCGUGGAACUCUUGGUGGAGCGGUGAAAUGCGUAGAUAUCAAGAGGAACGCCGGCGGCGAAAGCGAUGCACUGGGCCUGAACUGACGCUGAGGUGCGAAAGCUAGGGUAGCGAACAGGAUUAGAUACCCUGGUAGUCC
rnacentral:rRNA from 1 species